rnacentral:tRNA from 1 species
AUUUAUUUAGUUUAAAAUAAAACAAUUUAUUUUCAUUAAAAAAAAGGAAAAUUUUCCAGUAAAUA